GAUGAACGCUAGCGGCAGGCUUAACACAUGCCAGUCGAGGGCGAUUGAUAUUAGCAAUAGUAUUAAUUGACCGGCGGAAGGGUGCGUAACGCGUGAGUAACAUACCCGUUACCGAGGGAUAGUCGAUGGAAACGUCGUAAAAUACCUCAUAGUAUAGAUUUAUCCCCUGAUAGAUUUAUUAAAUCGUAAGAGGUAACGGAGUGGCUCGCGUCCCAUUAGUUAGUUGGCGUGGUAACGGCACACCAAGACAACAAUGGGUAGGGGUUCGGAGAGGAAGGUCCCCCACAUUGGAACUGAGACACCGUCCAUACUCCUACGGUAGGCAGCAUUGAGGAAUAUUGUUCAAUGGUCGGAAGCCUGAACCACCCCAGCCUGGUGGAUGAAUGGAUGCCUAUGGGACUAAACUGCGAUUGAUACUGAUCAAGACCAUAUUCCUGUAUAUGAGGGAGAGUGAGUAUCUAACAAUGAUCGGCUAAUUCCUUGCCAUCAGCCCUCGGGAAUACGUGGGGAUGUAGGGUUUUCCUGAAUUUUUGGUUUUAAAGGGUGCGUAUGCCGUGCGGUGUGUCUGUGGUUAAAUGCUUCUGUUAUCGGAUCUUUGACCAUUUUAUUUUCUUGCUUUAUUGUGAUUGUCUUGUUAUUGAAUGCUUGGUGUGUGUUUAAAUUUUUCUUACCUGACGGCAUGCUGACUUUGUGGUGAUUUUAUGUGUUGCUCUUUUAUGUUGAUGUGGAUUGUGUGUUGUGGUUGUCUGUCUGCUGAUUCUUUGUUGUGA
rnacentral:rRNA from 1 species